GCACAAGCUCCAAGCCAGUCUGGAUUAAGUAGCAAAACCCAGCUAACAAAACCACACAUACGUGCUACAAGCCCAAAGAGUCCCCACACAGCUGAGACAAGGUGUUGGUAUGUAACCCUGGCUGGCUAAGAACUUGCUAUGCAGGUCAAGCUGGUGUUGAAGUUGGAGUAGCUCCUACUGCCUCUGCCUUCCCAGGGCUGGGAUUACAGGUGUGAUUCUACGGAGAAAAAUUUCAGGCCUAUCGAGAUGACAUGAUAAAUAAAUGUAAUAAAAAUUCAAAGCAA